rnacentral:sRNA from 1 species
GCUGGGCACAGUGGAGCAUGCCUGUAAUCCCAGUAGCUCAGGAGGCUGAGACAGGAGGAUCAAGAGUUCAAAAGCAGCCUCAGCAAUAGGGACGCGCUAAGCAACUCAGCGAGACCCUUUCUCUA